rnacentral:rRNA from 1 species
GACGAACGCUGGCGGCGUGCUUAACACAUGCAAGUCGAACGGAAAGGCCCUGCUUUUGUGGGGUGCUCGAUUGGCGAACGGGUGAGUAACACGUGAGUAACCUGCCCUUGACUUUGGGAUAACUUCAGGAAACUGGGGCUAAUACCGGAUAGGAGCUCCUGCUGCAUGGUGGGGGUUGGAAAGUUUCGGCGGUUGGGGAUGGACUCGCGGCUUAUCAGCUUGUUGGUGGGGUAGUGGCUUACCAAGGCUUUGACGGGUAGCCGGCCUGAGAGGGUGACCGGCCACAUUGGGACUGAGAUACGGCCCAGACUCCUACGGGAGGCAGCAGGGGGGAAUAUUGCACAAUGGGCGGAAGCCUGAUGCAGCAACGCCGCGUGCGGGAUGACGGCCUUCGGGUUGUAAACCGCUUUCGCCUGUGACGAAGCGUGAGUGACGGUAAUGGGUAAAGAAGCACCGGCUAACUACGUG